rnacentral:rRNA from 1 species
AGUGAACGCUGGCGGCGUGGAUUAGGCAUGCAAGUCGAACGAUACCGCAAGGUAUAGUGGCAAAAGGGCGAGUAACACGUGAGUAAUCUACCUUCGAGUGGGGAACAACCUUGGGAAACCGAGGCUAAAACCGCAUAAGACCACGGCCUGGCAUCAGGCUGUGAUCAAAAGGGGGGACCGCAAGGCCUCUUGCUUGAAGAUGAGCUCGCGUCCUAUCAGCUAGUUGGUGAGGUAACGGCCCACCAAGGCUUUUGACGGGUAGCUGGACUGAGAGGUUGGUCAGCCGCAUUGGGACUGAGAUACUGCCCAGACUCCUACGGGUGGCAG